rnacentral:lncRNA from 1 species
GUGAUGGCAAGACAAGACAAAAUAUUUUAUUUCCUCAGACACAAACGUGUACAAGAGGUCAAAACAUAAUAAAGUAUACAUAUAAAUCGAUCGUGAUGUGUUUGUACAUCUUACUUUACUAAACAUUCUUACUGCUUACAAUUAUCUCUAUCUAUAAUGAACUUGGCCCAGUAGUUUCAGUUGAAAAUGUUAGUAAAAAUUUUCAAAUUUUAUGAAAAUUGUUAAAAAUUGACUAUAAAGGAC